CCCUAGUAACGGCGAGUGAAGCGGCAACAGCUCAAAUUUGAAAUCUGGCGUCUUUGGCGUCCGAGUUGUAAUUUGCAGAGGGCGCUUUGGCAUUGGCAGCGGUCCAAGUUCCUUGGAACAGGACGUCACAGAGGGUGAGAAUCCCGUACGUGGUCGCUAGCCUUUACCGUGUAAAGCCCCUUCGACGAGUCGAGUUGUUUGGGAAUGCAGCUCUAAAUGGGAGGUAAAUUUCUUCUAAAGCUAAAUACUGGCCAGAGACCGAUAGCGCACAAGUAGAGUGAUCGAAAGAUGAAAAGCACUUUGGAAAGAGAGUUAAAAAGCACGUGAAAUUGUUGAAAGGGAAGCGCUUGCAGCCAGACUUGCCUGUAGUUGCUCAUCCGGGUUUUUACCCGGUGCACUCUUCUAUAGGCAGGCCAGCAUCAGUUUGGGCGGUUGGAUAAAGGUCUCUGUCAUGUACCUCCUUUCGGGGAGAUCUUAUAGGGGAGACGACAUGCAACCAGCCUGGACUGAGGUCCGCGCAUCUGCUAGGAUGCUGGCGUAAUGGCUGUAAGCGGCCCGUCUUGAAACACGGACCAAGGAGUCUAACAUCUAUGCGAGUGUUUGGGUGUCAAGCCCGAACGCGUAAUGAAAGUGAACGGAGGUGGGAACCUUUCGGGGUGCACCAUCGACCGAUCCUGAUGUCUUCGGAUGGAUUUGAGUAAGAGCAUAGCUGUUGGGACCCGAAAGAUGGUGAACUAUGCUUGAAUAGGGUGAAGCCAGAGGAAACUCUGGUGGAGGCUCGCAGCGGUUCUGACGUGCAAAUCGAUCGUCAAAUUUGGGCAUAGGGGCGAAAGACUAAUCGAACUAUCUAGUAGCUGGUUCCUGCCGAAGUUUCCCUCAGGAUAGCAGUAACGUUUUCAGUUUUAUGAGGUAAAGCGAAUGAUUAGAGGCAUGGGGGUUGAAACAACCUU
rnacentral:rRNA from 3 species